AGAGUUUGAUCAUGGCUCAGAAUGAACGCUGGCGGCAGGCCUAACACAUGCAAGUCGAACGGGCACCUUCGGGUGCUAGUGGCGGACGGGUGAGUAACGCGUGGGAACAUACCCUUUGGUACGGAAUAGCCUCGGGAAACUGAGAGUAAUACCGUAUGUGCUCGCAAGAGGAAAGAUUUAUCGCCAAAGGAUUGGCCCGCGUUGGAUUAGGUAGUUGGUGGGGUAAUGGCCUACCAAGCCGACGAUCCAUAGCUGGUUUGAGAGGAUGAUCAGCCACACUGGGACUGAGACACGGCCCAGACUCCUACGGGAGGCAGCAGUGGGGAAUCUUAGACAAUGGGGGAAACCCUGAUCUAGCCAUGCCGCGUGAUCGAUGAAGGCCUUAGGGUUGUGAAGAUCCUUCAGAUGGGAAGAUAAUGACGGUACCAUCAGAAGAAGCC
rnacentral:rRNA from 1 species